ensembl:lncRNA
CAUGAAGGUACUUUGUGUGAUUUCUCACAUGUUCAGGGCAGACCCACAGGACUCUUGUGUGCUUUGGAGAUGACACGAGUGUUUGAAAGGCACACAGCUGCACAGCCAGCUGGGGGCUGUCUGUCUGAAAGUAACGGCCUCUUGGUUCUCAGCUCAGAGAGUUCUGUCACAGAGGUGUAGCAGGUGUGAGUGCUGUCGGCACCAGGAUCCUGCUUCCUGUUAGCCACAGACAGAGAGGAGGAACAUCCAGCAAGUGCCUUCAUGCAGAGCCCUAUUUCUGCCAGUGGCAAUAUAAAUGCAGCAGCUGAAGAGGAAGCAAAGUCUUGGCCCUCUGCUCUAGCCAGCACCUUGGAAACGUUAACAAAGAGAACAAAUUGCCACUGUGUUUGCAAAGCUCUGCCAGGCACCUCUCCUUCUCAAUUUUAUUUUCCAUUACCGGAAGUGGAGUUAAAGAAUGAAAGGGAAACACAGAGGGGAAAGAAAUGAGAGUGGAAAUGAUCAUGACAAGAAAUUUUCCCAGCUGCUUAAAUAACCCCUGAAGAGUGAGGCAAGUUCCAUUUUCCUGUGUUAGCUGCCCAGAAAGCUGUGUGCCGAGGCUCUUGAGUUCAGCGUAUGCUGUUACUGGUUCAGGUGUUCCAGAGUGGAGAAAGAAAGUCCGACAUCAUUUGCAUCAGUUUCAGAUGGAAGGUGGAAAAGUCGAAUUUGACCCAAUUUCAGAAAAUCUGACCUCAUCCUGAUCCCAUGCCAAGACCAAAGAGUUGCUCUGUUUACCUACUGUUGACGCAAUACUUAAACUCAGAAGGUUUCCGAUAGCCUUUUUGGAUGGAGAAGAGAAAAAGCAGUGCUGGAACAGGAACUUCAGCCUGAAACGUAAUUUAAGAGUUUCCCACCACAGGCAGCAUGUUCAACCACACAGAACUGAGGAAGUAACUCAUAACUACCAGG